rnacentral:lncRNA from 1 species
CUGCUGUGAUGCAUUGAUAUCGUGAUGAGAUGCCUUACAUGCUUAUGGAGAGAGUUCUUCAUGAGUAUGCGGUGGUGCCGCGAUCCUCGAUUCAUAAUCUCAGAUCAAGAGGCAUGACAUAUUGAAGAGAGCUAACCCCAACUUGCCCUCGAAUUACGUCGCUCUGAUGCAACUCCAAUAACGGAGACAGAAGGAGAAGCAACAACAAGAAGAAGAGAGGCUCCGAAAGCUCCAGGAGGAGGGGGAAGAGCGGCGGCGGUAACGG